CCCGUAGGCGGCUUGAUAAGUCGGGUGUGAAAACUCCAGGCUCAACCUGGAGACGCCACCCGAUACUGUCAUGGCUUGAGUCUGGUAGGGGAGUGCGGAAUUCCUGGUGUAGCGGUGAAAUGCAUAGAUAUCAGGAGGAACACCGGUGGCGAAGGCGGCACUCUGGGCCAGUACUGACGCUGAUGGGCGAAAGCGUGGGGAGCAAACAGGAUUAGAUACCCUGGUAGUCCACGCCGUAAACGUUGGGCACUAGGUGUGGGGGGUUUCAACGCCCUCUGUGCCGUAGCUAACGCAUUAAGUGCCCCGCCUGGGGAGUACGGCCGCAAGGCUAAA
rnacentral:rRNA from 1 species